rnacentral:rRNA from 1 species
CCUACGGGAGGCUGCAGUGGGGAAUAUUGGGCAAUGGGCGCAAGCCUGAACCAGCAAAGCCGCGUGAAGGAAGAAGGCUUUCGGGUUGUAAACUUCUUUUAUCAGGGACGAAGCCCGUGACGGUACCUGCUGAAUAAGCCACGGCUAACUACGUGCCAGCAGCCGCGGUAAUACGUAGGUGGCCAGCGUUAUCCGGAUUUACUGGGUGUAAAGGGCGUGUAGGCGGGAGUGCAAGUCAGAUGUGAAAACUAUGGGCUCAACCCAUAGCCUGCAUUUGAAACUGUACGUCUUGAGUGCUGGAGAGGCAAUCGGAAUGCGGGGUGUAGCGGUGAAAUGCGUAGAUAUACGGAGGAACACCGGUUGCGAAGGCAGAAUGCUGGACAGUAACUGACGCUGAGGCGCGAAAGCGUGGGGAGCAAACAGGAUUAGAUACCCUUGUAGUC